UUUUAUUUGAGAGUUUGAUCCUGGCUCAGGAUGAACGCUGGCGGCGUGCCUAACACAUGCAAGUUGAGCGAUUUACUUCGGUAAAGAGCGGCGGACGGGUGAGUAACGCGUGGGUAACCUACCCUGUACACACGGAUAACAUACCGAAAGGUAUGCUAAUACGGGAUAAUAUAUUUGAGAGGCAUCUCUUAA
rnacentral:rRNA from 1 species